UGCAAGUCGAGUGCGCGUCUGUAGCAAUACAGAUGGCGCACGGCGCACGGGUGCGUAACACGUGGGCAAUCUGCCCUUCGAUGGGGAAUAUCUUCGGGAAACCGAAGCGAAUUCCGCAUAACAUUCCUUGGACUUCGGUUCGAGGACUCAAAGCCGUAAGGCGUCGAAGGAGGAGCCCGCGCCCGAUUAGCUAGUUGGUGAGGUAAUGGCUCACCAAGGCAAUGAUCGGUAGCUGGUCUGAGAGGAUGGCCAGGCACACUGGAACUGAGACACGGUCCAGACUCCUACGGGAGGCAGCAGUGGGGAAUCUUGCACAAUGGGCGAAAGCCUGAUGCAGCGACGCCGCGUGGGGGAUGAAGCAUCUCGGUGUGUAAACCCCUUUCGACCCGGAAGAAUGCCUCGCAAGAGGACUGACGGUACGGGUAUAAGAAGCCCCGGCUAACUACGUGCCAGCAGCCGCGGUAAGACGUAGGGGGCCAGCGUUGUUCGGAAUUACUGGGUGUAAAGGGUUCGUAGGCGGUGCGGCAAGUUGGGAGUGAAAUCUCUGGGCUUAACCCAGAGGCUGCUUCCAAAACUGCCGUGCUUGAGUGUGGGAGAGGCGCGUGGAAUUGCAGGUGUAGCGGUGAAAUGCGUAGAUAUCUGCAGGAACACCCGUGGCGAAAGCGGCGCGCUGGACCACAACUGACGCUGAGGAACGAAAGCUAGGGGAGCAAACAGGAUUAGAUACCCUGGUAGUCCUAGCCCUAAACGAUCAGGACUUGGGGUGCCACCCGUUCGGGUGUCGUCCCGGAGCUAACGCGUUA
rnacentral:rRNA from 1 species